GGUUCCAUAGUGUAGCGGUUAACACAUCUGCUUUACACACAGAAGGUCCUGGUUGGCGCCCCAGUGGAGCCA
rnacentral:tRNA from 1 species